GCCCGCUUGGCGGAUUGGUAGACGCGCAGCGUUGAGGUCGCUGUGCCGAAAGGCGUGGGGGUUCGAGUCCCCCAGUGGGCACCA
rnacentral:tRNA from 1 species